CAGAGAGCCAUCUUCCUGGGUAUCAAAAUGGCCUCCUCGACCUCCCUCACUCUCCUCUUCUUCCCCUUCCUCCUCCUCACCCUCUCCCACGCCGCCACCUUCAACGUCGUCAACCAAUGUUCCUACACCGUGUGGGCUGCAUGGGCAGCCACCGGCAACGUCGGCGGCGGCCAGCAGCUCGACCAAGGCCAGACCUGGACGGUCACCGUCAACGCCGGCACCACCGGUGGCCGCAUCUGGGCCCGUACUGGCUGCUCCUUCGAUGCCAACGGCAACGGGAACUGCCAGAGCGGCGACUGCGGCAAGCUCGCGCGCCUGCACCUCCUACGGCUCCGCACCCAACACCCUCGCGGAAUUCGCCCUAAACCAGUUCCAGAACCUCGACUUCAACGACAUCUCCCUCGUUCAGGGCUUCAACGUGCCCAUGGACUUCCGCUCCACCUCGUCGGACUGCAGCCAAGAUAUCCAAUGCACCGCCGACGUCGUUGGGCAGUGCCCCAGCGAGCUUAAAGUGCCCGGCGGCUGUGAUGACCCAUGCACCAUCUUCAACGCUCCUCAGUACUGCCCCCCUAACGGCUCCAGCUGCGAGCCAACCACCUAUUCCGAGUUCUUUAAGAGGCUGUGCCCGAAUGCGUUUAGCUACCCAGAUGAUUAUGUGAACACCAGCUUCACCUGCCCCGGUGGGAGCAACUACCAGGUUACCUUCUGCCCUUGAGGCUUUGAGAGCAUGGUGAUCCAUGCAUGACGCUGUUUCGAGUAUGUGAUAGCUUUGGAAUAAGGUGUUUGUAACCAAAUUUACGAGCCAUUAAACUGGCCUGUGAUGCAUGCAGCAUUAUUGGAAUUAUAGAAAUAAUUGUUCACUGUUAGUAAAUGCACUUCUCCAUCUUCAAUAUCUUAUGGAUGACUACAAAAAUAAGAAAAUGGUAGAGCAAGUUGCUCUAUUCGGCAAUACAUUUUCUCUCCAGUAUGGCACUAGCGUAAUAUCUGGUAAAUGGACCCACUCCAGCGAUCACUGACCCCAUCAAUUGCACCAUCCCCUUUUGACCUGUGGAACAAGAAAUCCUGGAGUUAACGCCUAGAAGUUGAUCUAACAAAGUGAAUCACAACAAAAUUCUUUCACUCGUCAACUGCUGUUGUAUUAUAAGUAUUUAUACGAACAGAGAGAAACCAUUUGGAAAGUCCGGAAGAUGAUGUUUUUUAAUUUUUGAGUGAGAGGCUUGGGCCGAGCGUAGUCCAAUAUACUAAAAUAAAACAGAGUGCAAACGGUGACAUUUCACCACCCCCAGGCACCUUGAUUAAUUCUUACUAAGGCAGAAUUCAUUCAUUAUAUCUUUUAAUGAUUGUCAAAACUCAUAUAUGCAAGUAAUUAAUAUUUUAAUAGAUCCUUAUUGAAUUUGAUUUAACUAUAAAACAGAAUCUCCCAACAUGCUGAAUGGAACCUCGGGGCAUAAUAGCGAUGGGAUUGGGAGGUAAUAAAAAACAAUACAAUUAAAACACAACAGAAUCAACAACUCUCCCACCUCGUGCAAACAUGUUAGGAAAUAAAUAACUAAAGCCAAUCCAUCUAAUAUAUAUAUCAUAGAUAUUCACAAAUACCUAGCUGAUCAAAUUAUCAAAAACAUAAAAGCAACACUAAAUUUUACGUCGAAAAUUAAACCUCCCAAUAUGGAGAGUAAAAACAACGGGACCGUAGUCCACCCAAAAACUUUCACUAUCAACCAAGAAUGGAUAUUACAAUCUAUUCUCUCUAGCUAAAACUAGAGACAUAUAUCACCACAUAAUUUCAAGAACAAUAUUCUUGGCAAACAUCAACAAUAAGAAAGAGAAAAAAUGAGAAGAUCUCACAUGAACAGCAGUCAUGUUUUUGCAGAAUCUUAUUAUGCUGGAAGAUUGAAAAUAGCAAUCACACCGUAUAAAUUGAAGAACCACGUGUUUGAGCCUACUGUCAAAAUUUUAACUCAAUCGGACCUCGGAUUGCCUUCCAAUCGUCGUUUGAUCAAAACUGCACAUAGUGAACUAAUUCUACUCCUCCGCCGCUGCCUUCUUUUUUUUACGAAGACUCCUCACGCUGCCUGGCUUCUCCACAUAAAAACUGUCCUAAUGGGCCCCACAUUUUGGGCCAAAAGUUAUUCCAACUAAUAUGGGCUAAAAAUAAUUAAUUGAGCCCACAUUUGUUGAGCUAAGUCUUCUCCAACAUAAGAGGGACAACCCAACAAAUCUCCCCCUCCCGACUAUGUGGAGGGAUUCACCAUCCCAGCGAUCAAUCGACAUGUCAGUCCUAUGUCUAUUGUUGACUUGAAUUAGCAUACAAUAAACAAUACCUAAGUCCACAAAAAAGAUUAUUUUUUGCUUGUUAUAUAUAAAUUGUUUAAUAUCACAGUUGAUUUUGGAAGCUAACCAUCUUUUCUUGGAAGGUGACUCAGCGACAGUGAUUGGUAGGAUAAAUUGAGAUAGCCGACAUUUGGAUGGAUUAUGCAUCUUCACACAACUUAACGGGCCUACCUGGGACUUCUAACAAAGGACACGGUCAACUUAAGCAAAUGGAAAACGUUCUGGGUUGUUGGAAUCACCAGUCCAAACACGCAAGUAGGGAUGUUGAAACGAAUGAUUUUUUAUUAGCUCAUAACCACUGAUCGAAUCAUGUGCCUUACAUUUGUCCAUCACUUAUUGCCUCAUGAUGAAGAUAUGUACACGUACUGCAAAUGGCUACAGGAGUGUCAGUGCCAGCCGCCUGUGGUUCCCACCUAAAGUCAAGUCCAUCGUAUCUUUUCGUUUUCUCGGUAGACAAUUCCAUCCUAUCUUUGAACAUCGCCAACCACGCUGGCUACGUUGGACAAAGAAAACAAAAAAACAAAACGCUUCCUCCUCAGCCUACCCUCCCCCACCGCCCUAUAAAUACUCUUACUGCCCAUCCCACAACCCCACACAAUCCUCAACCAGAGAGCCAUCUUCCUGGGUAUCAAAAUGGCCUCUUCGACCUCCCUUACUCUCUUCUUCUUCCCUUUCCUCCUCCUCACCCUCUCCCACGCCGCCACCUUCGACGUCGUCAACCAAUGUUCCUACACCGUGUGGGCUGCAUGGGCAGACACCGGCAACAACGGCGGCGGCCAGAAGCUCGGCAAGGGCCAGACCUGGACGGUCACCGUCAAUCCCGGCACCCCCCGUGCCCGCAUCUGGGCCCGUACCGGCUGCUCCUUCGAUGCCAACGGCAACGGGAAGUGCCAGACCGGCGACUGCGGCAAGCUCGCCUGCACCUCCUACGGCUCCCCGCCCAACACCCUCGCGGAAUUCGCCCUCAACCAGAACUCCCCACCUUACUACACCAACCGCGACUUCAACGACAUCUCCCUCGUUCAGGGUUUCAACGUGCCCAUGGACUUCCGCUCCACCUCGUCGAGCUGCAGCAUGGAUAUCCAAUGCACCGCCGACGUCGUUGGGAAGUGCCCCAGCAAGCUCAAAGUAACCGGCGGCUGCGAUGACCCAUGCACCAUCUUCAAGACUGCUCAGUACUGCUGCCCGUCCGGCUCAAGCUGCGAUCCAACUACCUAUUCCAAGUUCUUUAAGAGCCUGUGCCCGAAUGCGUAUAGCUACCCGGAUGAUUAUAACAACACCCAAUUCUCCUGCCCCGGUGGGACCAACUAUAAGGUCACCUUCUGCCCUUGAGGCUUUGAGAGCUUGGUGAUCCAUGCAUGCAUGACGCUGUUUGGAGUAUGUGAUAGCUUUGGAAUAAGGUGGUUGUAACCAGAUUUACAGCCCAUUUCACAGGCCUGUAAUGCAGCAGUAAUAGAGUAAUAAAAACGUUGCAUAAUUGUUUGCUGUUAGUAAAUGCGCUCCUCCAUGUUCGAUAUCGUAUAGAUGACUAAUUACAGAGGACAAAGAAGAGAAUACUGUGGCAAGUUGCACUAUCUAUUUGGCAAUCCAUUUCCUAUCAGAUAUGGCACUAGCUAACUCCAACGAUAACUGACCCCACCAAUCGCACCAUCCCCUUUUGACAUGUUGGAUAAGAAAUACAGGUGCAAAAUGCAUCGAAGCUGAUCUUGCAAAUUGAAUCACUACAAAAUUCUUUCAUUAAUCUAUUAAUUGCUGUUCUAAUAUUAACUAUUUACAUGAACUAAGGGAAACUAUUAAUUGGAAACUCUAGAAGAUACAUCCAUGUAUUAUAUUUUAUUUGUUAUGACUGGAAGACUUGGCUUGAGUCUAAUCCAAUUUUAUUGAAUUAAAAUAUAGUACAAACGGUCAGUCAAGGUUACAUUAACCAAUAGGGCUGAAAUUUAACCACCCACAGGCCCCUUGUUUCUUAGGUAGAAUUCAUUUUAAAUUUUUUAUGAUUGGCUAAACUCAUGUAUGUAAGUGAUUAAUAUUUUAAUAGAUAACUUAAAGAAUUAGAUGGAAUUACCCAUAUAUAUAUAUAUAUAUAAACAUCUUCCGUGUGUUACCUUCUAUCAUAUAUAGUAUGUCGGCGUCCCUGUUGCUUACAAACAGAUGCUAUGGCCCAGCCGAAUAAUAUUGGAUUUAGUAUCUUCGGUACAGGAUCAUGAAGUUCGUCACAAGGAAAAAUUUCAUCGUGCACUAAGAUUUUGGAUAACCUGUGCAACAAAGUCCACUCCAUUUGACGAUUAGAUUGGACUAACUCCCAGAAGCCCAUGGAGGAAGUUUCUCAGAACUUGAAUUCCCUGUAAGUUAAGUUGCAAUAGGUUACGUAACUUUUCCGUAGGUUAUAUAUUCACUUAUGCAGCUUUCUUGAUUGCCUUUACAUCAGGAAAAUUUUAGAUUAAAGUAUGCAAGUGGAAUUGGUGUUAUGUGGGAGGAUGCUGAGAGGCCCCUAUUGGUGUUGUGUUGCAAUAGGUCCAGCUUCACUGGAUCGGGGCCCAAGCCCUAUUCAUUGAGGGAACCACCUUAACGGUUCCUCGAAUAAGAACGGGGCAUAAGAGAAGCCGUAGACUUUCUCUUGUCCCCUCUCACACCUGCCUCUCUCUCUCUCUCNNNNNNNNNNNNNNNNNNNNUCUCUCUCUCUCUCUCUCUCUCUCUCUCUCUCUCUCUCACUCACUCACUCACUGUCACGCGCUCUCUAGAUCGAUCUCUAUCUAAAUCUCACACGCUCUCUCUCUCUCUCUCCGAUGUCUCUCUCUCCUAUGCUCUUUCUCUCUUACUCACUUCUUCUUCUCCUCCUUUUCUUUCUUUUUCUCUCUUUAUAUCUCACAGCUAGCCCCAAAGGUGAUUGAAUCGGCAUCCAAAAUAUUCCCAAAGUACAUAAAACUCUAUUGUCCGUUGGAGUAAAGAAAGACAGCCAUCAUAAGACGUCUAAAUAGGUCUAGGCCGAAAAUAUAUAAUUUAUCAAUCUGAUAAUUACUGCAAAACACUGUGCCAAUGAACGUAUGUACUAGAGAAUAAAUAGCAUCAAAUAUCAAAAUCAUUGGGAGUGGAAGCCAGACACAGUGGCAAUCGUCAAAGUGGACAAUUAUUAUCUAUUAGUAUAAAUAAGUGAAAACUAUACCUUAUAUAGAUCCCUUCGACAAUUCAAAUCAAGAAUUAUAAUUUAUUUUAGUUCUUAAUCUACCAGUAGUUUCUACUCUUGGAGUAGCUGCAGUAACUUAAAAUCUCUACUAGUGCAGUCCAAUGCUACGCCUCUAUUUCUAUUCGGAUAUAUUUCUUUUAAGGAGUGGUAUGACGGUGAUGAAAGUCUUUGAAGGUCCAGGUACCUAGAUCCUUGCUACUCUUUGUCCUCUCUUCAAUCAUUAUCAUGUCAGCUGAUUCGACGUCGUUUGCAUGCCAUGCACCCACCAUAACUUUGCCACCCAACUUGUGUGGACAAGUUCUCUAGCAUGCCCAUUCCUUAGGUGGUGCGAGAGUGACUUCACGAUGACAAAUAGGUGAAACAUCGACAAAUUGUGAUUAUAGCUACCUUAGAGGUUAAGUGUUAAUUUAAAGGCUAAUCAUGUUCUAUAUCAUUCUUGUUACUAAGAAAAGUCAUCAGCCUAAUAUAGGGGUAACGACCUAAUUAAGCAGUAUCAGUGCUUAUCAAGAAGUCAGCAUGUCAGAAAUGGAGAUAGAUAGUUCAAAAACUAAAAUUGACUUUAGCAAACUUCAAGGGAAAGUGAUCAAAAUGGUGUUAAUUAAUCGAAGAUGUCAGGUGUCAGUGUUAGAGAGAGACAAUUGUUUAGAUCCAGAGAAGGGACAUUUUCUCUAUUCAAUGAUCAACAUUUUCAUUUUCAUCCCUUCUGCUAAUUUUGUUAUUUCUUUAUAUCCUCUAGCUUUUAUCCUUUAUCCUCAAUAGCAUAGCGUUGUAGCUAUCGCUUCCAUCUCUAGGAAGGCAGCAUCUAAUAGCGGAAGUCCCCAUAGAUUAAGAUGAGACAGCGGAACGUACCACCAUUUAUUCUUUUCGGUUGGAACAUCCAUGUUACGCCAGCGCAUCCAUCAAAUCCAACUAUUAAUUGCCAACUAGGAUGCAGGUUAAGUUGCUGCACUAUAAAAAGAAAAAAAACAAAACAUUAGUGAUGCUUUUUAUUGCCUAUACCGAAGCUUAUAAGCAUUAUUAGUUUUAUUAGUGAUACCUUAUAAAGCGUCGCAAAAGCGUCGAUUAUAUGAACGUUGAAAAAUGAAAUUGACGACGCUUGGAGAAAGCAUCGCUAACUGCCGACGCUUAUAAGUGUUUGCUAAUAGUAACGCUUAAUUGCAUCGCCAGUUAGCAACGCUACAAAAUAUCACUAAUAUUUUUUUAUAACAACGCUUUAAAACGUCAUUAUAUUUUAUUUUUUUUGAAAAAAAUAUUUAAAUUUUUUUUAAAACUCUGUAUAUAUGUACAUGCUAAAAGCAUCUUUAAAUAUGCUCGUUAUAUCAUUUUCUUAUACAAGAUUUCUUUUCAUGUUACUGGAUCCAAAACUAGAAGUGUGUUAUAAAUAGGAGGGUUGGUUACAUGGAGUCGGCAAUAUGGAUUCUCUAUGAAAUACCCAUUCAGUAUAACCUUUUAGAAAACCAUUGUACACAAAUAUUUUUCAAUAGUUUUUGGAGCGAGAAAAGAACUGUCUACAUAUUUUCGAUAUGGAUAUAAAAUCUUUUCGUUCAUAUUAGAUUUCUUAAAAGCAAAUUUAAUAAAAUUCUGAACUCCAUCCAAAUAUUCGGCACCGGAUUUCGAUUUAUUUAUCCAACUUUUGUCCAUUCGAUUAGAAUAUUGAUUGAACUAUAACUUAUCUAAAAAAGAUAAAUAAAAUUAGGGUAUAAAGAAGGAUGGCAUAAAAUUUAUUCAAUGAAAAGAUCAAAGAAGAGGAUGUUAAUAAACACGUGGCUGGAGAACGAUACAUUGUUCAACCAAACAUAUGGAUUCAAGUGGAUACUGAAAAAUUAUAACCAAACAUAUGGAUUCAAGUGGAUACUGAAAAAUUAUACAAAAGAAGUGUUCUUUAAUGGUAGUCAAAGAUGUUUAGAAUUCGUAAUUAAAUAGGUGCACUUGAGACAACUAGUUGUUGGGGGAUUUAAAAACAUAAGAAAAACUAAUGCCAUUUUUACAGCAUAUAACUGCAUUUAGGAAGAAAAUAAGGAACUCUAAUGGGUUGAUACUUUGACUUAAAAGUCAGACAAGGUUCCAUUAUAAUUUUGGGUUCAGGUUGGGUCUUUGGCAUGAAAGAACAUUUGAUAUUCUUUCGCCUGUGGGACCGUCCGAUGGGGAUGAGCAUGUUGAGAUUGGGGCGGAUGGGGAAACAGAGUCGAAACUGAAGAGAGCCGUUAAGGCCAAUAUGCAUGAUUAAUCAGAGUAGCACAACAAUACAAAAAAAAAAGAAUAAGAUAAGAUAAGAUAAGGAAAAGUGAAUCAUUAAUCAACACAAUGGAACCUCAUUCUCUAAUGGUGUUUGCAUAAGCUAAUCAGAGGCUCGAAUCAAUAAUGGUAUCAAAACUACAAAAUCCACAAGAAAUAAAAAAUGAACUGCAGAUAUUUAAUUCUUUUGGAAAAUAAAAUAUAAGAAAGAAAAGAAGAACAACAGUCAUCUUAGUACUGAAAACAAGAAAGCUCUCUGAUAAAAAAUUGGCAUUGAACAAAUUAUGGAUUCAAGAAACUGAGCAAACUAAAUCUUCGGUUCAUUGAACCAAAUAAACAGAAAGGGACCAAAGGGUACAGCACAAAUCCGAAAAGGAGAGCAAGGAACAUUAAGAAGCAUGAGCUGAACAACUCCCCAAGCUUCUCCGGGACAAAAUCCUCGGUGCUCGGCCCUCGACAUGAGGCCUCCACCAAAAAUAUCACCAGGGAGGUCGGUUGGUCGGUCGGCGCCGGAGAGAAAGGAAGAGGAGAAAGAUACCUGUGACGGAUGGAGACGGAGCUCGAUAGGAGGAUUGGGAUUGGUCGGUCGGCGCCGGAGAGAAGAAAAAGAAAGUUAGGAUUGGUGGAAAAUGAGGGCUAGUGGGUCGCGUAUUAGGGUUUUUUAGUGGGGUGUUAGCCUCCAACGAUGCUCAUAAGCAUCGUCUUAGGUCCUUGCCCUCUGACGAUACUUAGAAAUAUCGUCUUAGGUCCUAGGCUUCCGACGACGCUUAUAAAUGUUUUCUUAGAUUAGUGUUUAGGCGGAGUUCAGUGGAAGUUAGUGUUAAGAAAGUGUCUAGUGUGUAGAAUUCUAACGACGCUUUUAAGCGUCGUUUGCUCCUUUUCCUCAUUCUAUUUUUUUGGCCUCCAACGAUACUUAUAAAUGUCGUCUUACAAUUUAAUUUCAACGAUGCUAAUUAGUGAUGUCAUAGUUUCAUCCCUGCAGACACUACUUAAAAGUGUCGACAAAUUUUGACACCGAAGACAAAAUUACUGACGCUUCUACCUAACAUGAACAUGUAUAUGUCAGCAUUUUUCCCUUUUUCUGGAGUGCUGCAUCUCAACCUAAUGCUGCAACUUGAGUCAUUGUAGCCCGACAUUUUGUAGCACUCCAAAAUCUUCGAGUGGCCUAGUGGCGGAAAACUAUGAGCCCCCCCAAAAAAAAUAGUUAUACUGUAAAAAUAUUCACACAUAUGUUGAACUAUUUGAUUACAAAGAACAUGUAUUAUAAUCUCUAAGAUAUUUUUUAUUGGAAAAAGGUUCUAUAUAUUCGUGCUUAUACAAAAUAAUAAAUCUCCUGCUACACUUUGGGAAUUCACAUGCAUUUGCCAUUAGUCCAAUGAUCUCCCAUGAUGGCAACACGAGAAAAUAUAUAGUUUUAAUACUUUAAAGGGUUCAACAAAAUUACAAAAUUAUCCAACCAUUAUUAUUAGGGAACUUUUUUCUUAAAACAAGUUUAAAUUUAUUAGAUCACCAAAAAUAAUCAUUAAUAAAAAUUAAACUUUAAUGAGCUUUUUGUACGCGUUACACGUGUUGAAAAUGCCAAUCUUUGAGACGCCGAUGUACCGCGAGAACAUUGCCCUUCAUUUUUCCACUCCUCCCGUCACAGCCGCCUGUGGUCCCCACAUAAAGUCCAGUCCAUCCCAUCUUUGACUAUUAUAAACUGCACAGGCUGCGCUGGUUAUAAUAAUAAUAUAAAAAAAAUGCCUACCUUAAAGAGUGACUCGGCCACAGUUGGAUCCAAAAAAUUUCAGGGGUAACAGAUGCGAUCAUCCUUUACUCCGAGAUAUCUGCGUAAUAUUGAGGAAUGGUGGAGCCUUCCAGAUCUAGUAUAUUUUUCGAAAAGUCAAUAGAGCUGCGGAUUGAAUAGUUGCUUAUAUGGCCAGUCACUCCGGCAGUACCAUAUAAACUGGAGAUGGAGAGUUAUUUUAGGCACUUCAAAGCAUUUUGUUUUCUGACUUUAUUGGGUGUAUGGUAUAAGAACACGUGCCGCGCGUCCCAACACCCCACACAAUCCUCAACUAGAAAGCCAUCUUCCUGGAUAUCAAAAUGGGCUCCUCGACCUCCCUCACUCUCCUCUUCUUCCCCUUCCUCCUCCUCACCCUCUCCCACGCCGCCACCUUCGACGUCGUCAAUCAAUGUUCCUACACCGUGUGGGCUGCAUGGGCAGACACCAGUAACCUCGGCGGCGGCCAGCAGCUCAGCAAGGGCCAGACCUGGACGGUCACCGUCAAUCCCGGCACCCCCCGUGCCCGCAUAUGGGCCCGUACUGGCUGCUCCUUCGAUGCC
rnacentral:lncRNA from 1 species